AGCUGACAUCCAAGCUUGUAAGGGUGUGACCGUGACCCUAGGUCCCAGCCAGCCAACGUGCAGCUGGGUGCCAGAGAGAAGCAGAAGUGAGGAGGUGGGCCAGCAGGUUGUCCAGGGCAGGUCUUCCUGAGACCUGGUGGUUGAAGGAGUCAGGGAAAGAUGGAGCAUUGAGCUCAGGUCAUGGGACAGUGUGGAAUUUCCUUCCACCAUAGUGCUGAGCCCCUCAAAGGACUGUGCUCAAGAUGAUCCCAGGGACUAGCAACCAUCCACCUUUGGCAAUGGUGGGUGCUUUUAACUAGCUUGGAGUAAUUGCUGGCUGUAACCACAGACCUUUCCUCAAGUGUGCUCGGAGUUCAGACUUAACAUACUUGCCUAGCCACAAGAGUCUCAGGCAGGAAGUACACCUAACACAGCCUUUGAUUGACAGCUUCCUAGAGUGCAAGGCAGGAACACACACACAUGCAGUCUGUGGAGCUGACCUUCCACCUCGGGGCAGGUCACAGGAGUCCAGCAGAUAAAGACCACCAAGCGUGAGCUCACGAUUCCAGAACCACAGAAACAGGAGCCAGAGCAGGAGGAGGGGAAACCACAGGGAGCAGAACUAGAUGGCCUUAAAUUUAGAUAUGACAUUUCAGGUGAAGAAAACUGGCAAACGUCUAGAACAUUUUAAAAUAAAUAUGAGUUACAUGAAUAAAAAGGUCAUGCUGUAUCUAAAGAUUAAAUAGAAUUGGAAAAGAAACAAGUGAAACCUUUAGAAAUGAAAAAUAUGGUAACAGCAUUGAAAAGCUCAAAUGGUCCUGUUAAACCACAGGUUAUUAACAUCUGGGAAGAGAAUUGGUCAACUGAUUGUGAACGAAUGUCAUAAAGUGCAACACAAAGACCUGGAAGUGGA
rnacentral:lncRNA from 1 species